rnacentral:lncRNA from 1 species
CUUUGACUUGUAUAGGCAGACAAUAUCUUUAUUAUGAGUAAUUAUUUAGAAAGCGAAGCUGUAUUUGUAGGUUAUUUAUAGGAAAUGCAAAUUUCGCUUUUGCUACUAAGCCUGACGUAAUCAUGGAAGAAACUUGCCGUCAAAUGCGAAUCCCCUCUUGAGUCACAGUCCCAUUUCUAAGAACAGCUUUAGACAUAAAUUGUAGCAUUCGGAAACAGAGCGAGCAGAAAGCGACUUUCAUUCCCACAGUAAAGACAAGUUGAUCAUAACAAUGUCGUCCAGCAGCAGCAGUAGCAGGUAUGUGUUCCAUUAUUGAGUUUUUGUAAUGUUUAGAACAUCUACAAUCGUUUCCCACGGCCUUACUCCUUUCAACAAAGGAAUGAAUGUAAUUCCCUAACCACUGUGUUGUUUUGAAAUCGCAAGAUUUGCUUCGAGGGUAUGCGAGUUUAAAUCCGUCUCGAGUCAACAAUGCAUGUCUUGGUUUUGACAUGAAUUUAUUUCAUACUAAAAAAUACAGCUUAUAAAAGCUUAUAACUUAUGUAGAUAAUUUUCAAUUUGAUCCAAACACACUUCUAUUAACUGUGAUCCAAAUCACAUGCAAAAUGUUUAAGAAAUAAUAGUUUACUCAUUUUUCGUCACGUCUGAUUUUCAAAGCUGUUUUAUACAAAACAUGCAUUUCCUACAACAUUUGAGUUAAGAGUGUUCUUUCAGCUUCCAUUAAAUGGCAUGGAGCUACCUUAACUUUACUGUAAUUUAGUAAUCAAAAUUCCGCUUAAAUUCUUCGACAUUUAAAAUAAAUCCAUCUUCAAGUGACUAUACUGCCGCAAGAAAUUCCUGAUACACAAUUCCUCGUCGUCUUUUCUUACAUAAGAGAGUUUGACAAC